CCUACGGGUGGCAGCAGUGGGGAAUAUUGGACAAUGGGGGAAACCCUGAUCCAGCGACGCCGCGUGAGUGAAGAAGUAUUUCGGGACGUAAAGCUCUAUCAGCAGGAAAGAAAAUGACGGUACCUAACUAAGAAGCCCCGGCUAACGACGUGCCAGCAGCCGCGGUAAUACGUAGGGGGCAAGCGUUAUCCGGAUUGACUGGGUGUACAGGGAGCGUAGACGGCAGCGCAAGUCUGGAGGGAAAUGCCGGGGCCCAACCCCGGAACUGCUCUGGAAACGGUGAAGCUGGAGUGCAGGAGAGGUCAGCGGACUUCCUGGUGUAGCGGUGCAAUGCGUAGAUAUCAGGAGG
rnacentral:rRNA from 1 species